GCCUCUUUAGUUUAAUUGGUAGAACGACACACUUGUAAUGUGUAGGAAAUGGUUCGAAUCCGUUAAGAGGCUCA
rnacentral:tRNA from 1 species